rnacentral:rRNA from 1 species
AGAGUUUGAUCCUGGCUCAGGACGAACGCUGGCGGCGUGCCUAAUACAUGCAAGUAGAACGCUGAAGAGAGGAGCUUGCUCUUCUUGGAAGAGUUGCGAACGGGUGAGUAACGCGUAGGUAACCUGCCUUGUAGCGGGGGAUAACUAUUGGAAACGAUAGCUAAUACCGCAUAACAAUGGGUGACCCAUGUCAUUCAUUUGAAAGGGGCAACUGCUCCACUACAAGAUGGACCUGCGUUGUAUUAGCUAGUAGGUGAAGUAACGGCUCACCUAGGCGACGAUACAUAGCCGACCUGAGAGGGUGAUCGGCCACACUGGGACUGAGACACGGCCCAGACUCCUACGGGAGGCAGCAGUAGGGAAUCUUCGGCAAUGGGGGCAACCCUGACCGAGCAACGCCGCGUGAGUGAAGAAGGUUUUCGGAUCGUAAAGCUCUGUUGUAAGUCAAGAACGAGUGUGAGAGUGGAAAGUUCACACUGUGACGGUAGCUUACCAGAAAGGGACGGCUAACUACGUGCCAGCAGCCGCGGUAAUACGUAGGUCCCGAGCGUUGUCCGGAUUUAUUGGGCGUAAAGCGAGCGCAGGCGGUUUGAUAAGUCUGAAGUUAAAGGCUGUGGCUCAACCAUAGUUCGCUUUGGAAACUGUCAAACUUGAGUGCAGAAGGGGAGAGUGGAAUUCCAUGUGUAGCGGUGAAAUGCGUAGAUAUAUGGAGGAACACCGGUGGCGAAAGCGGCUCUCUGGUCUGUAACUGACGCUGAGGCUCGAAAGCGUGGGGAGCGAACAGGAUUAGAUACCCUGGUAGUCCACGCCGUAAA